GAUUUGAUCUUUUUGAGGUCAAUUUGGAAUUCAGUUUUUGCUGGUUCCUUUGCUGUGCUAUAGUAAUUUGAACUUCAGAGGUUCCUCCCCCUCCCCAUUUCUCUUUAUCUCCCUACCUGCCUACCCACCUCGUUUUGGUAACAAGUGGUUUCAUACUCCUCUUUGUUUUUUUCCCCCUACUUUCGAAGAUUGGCGUUUAUUGGGUUAUUGGUUGUACCGUUUUGUAAUUUUUUUAAUAGUUAUGUUGAAAUAUAUUUGGAA
rnacentral:misc_RNA from 1 species